UCAGUAAAAAAUAAAGUUACAAAAACUAAAAUUGUGGACAAGAUUAACUGUCCUCUGUAAUGCUACACAGAUAUCGUGAGAUCAAUCCAGCCAUUUCUAAUCUGUAGAUAGCAUGAAAAAUUUGGCGUAGUAACAAGUAUCCAAUUUUUGUGUCCUGAGGGUCAUCCCGCACUUGAUUGCAUAAGAAUUGGGUUAGGGUGUAAAUUUUGACAUGGUGCAUGUACACAGAAAGUAUUUCCUUUGGCUGCAAAUAUUUCCAUUUACCAUGUUUUCCUAGGUGAGCCAAACAUGGAAAAAUGUGAAAAAUGUUUACCAAAGCAUAUCUUACAUGAAACAAAUAUAGCCUUAAUUGCACAUUGCAGUAUAGGGCAUGCUUGACAACUAAUGAUGCCCAGCGCACCACCUUUAAAAUAUAGGUACACAAGCAAUUGUUUCUAAUACAUUGAUAAGUGACAAAUAUUCUCUUUAAGAUAAGUCAAGAUUAUUAAAUAUUUUCGAAAGAAAUAUCUCCCAGAAAAUGAAAACUUGAGGAAAACUGUGAAUAUUCAUACAUGAAAGACCAUAGAGCAUCUCACAUAGAACAGCCCAUUGGAACACAUGCAUAUAAUGGGGGUGGGAGAGGGGAGCGAAUGAAUAUUAAAUGAAACUGAAAAUUUAUAUAGCUGAAAUAGUGUGGGGUUUUGUGUAGGUGCAGCAGCAAGUUAAACAGUGCAGAGCAGUGGGUUUUUGGGUUGUUCGGCAGGGAAUUUUUAGCUGGCAAUGUAGCAAAGGGACGGAGGAAGGGAGUGGCUUGUUUUUUUCAUUUAAGGAAAAAGGUAUACACAGAAGAAACAAAACCAAACUCGACCAACUACCACAAUAUUGAGAGACAAUUAAAGUAAAAAAAUCCAACCACCCAAAUCCGUGGAAGUAUAGCCCAAACACAAAAUGCAUACAGCCAUAUUCAAUCAAAGAAAAAAGGUAAACGAGAAAAAAGAUACAAAUUCCAUGUCAAGAGCAUUAACAAUCUUUAGAAAUAAAAUCCUUCGCACAAAAUAAACCAAUGCAGAAAA